rnacentral:rRNA from 1 species
UACGGAGGGUGCGAGCGUUGUCCGGAAUCAUUGGGCGUAAAGGGCGCGUAGGUGGCGCGGUAAGCGUGCGGUGAAAGCCUGGGGCUCAACCCCGGGUCGGCCGUGCGAACUGCUGGGCUUGAGCACUGUAGAGGCAGGCGGAAUUCCGGGUGUAGCGGUGGAAUGCGUAGAGAUCCGGAAGAACACCGGUGGCGAAGGCGGCGUGCUGGGCAGUUGCUGACACUGAGGCGCGACAGCGUGGGGAGCAAACAGG